GCCCUUCUUUUUCCUCAAGUGUCAGUACUGUUUGUAAUGCUUCUAGUUCUGCUCUCUGUGCUGACAAAUGACCUGGCAAUUUAUGCUCUACUGAAUAUCCUCAUUUUGGAUACCAUAUAGCAUAACCUGUAUAGUUCUUCCCAUCUGAACAGAAUCUGGACCCGUCAACAAACACAGGUUCAUCAGAUUCACUUGCUUCCUUUCUUAAAAGAGAA